GAGGCCCGAUACCGCGGCGGCGUCAGUUGUCGCGCGCCAGCCAAGCACGAUUGGAACCCCUCGCAACAUCUCCGCCAGCUGGUUCGCGGACUGUUGAGACUCGCCCUGCCUUCGUCUCAGCUGAGUGGGUCGAGCUCCAUCACCUGCACAGAGUGCCCCAGGCGAGGGUCAGCCGCUGAUGUCGGCUGGAAGGGAUGACACGGGCGCGGCGCGGCACCAGCAGCAGCUAGACAGGCUGCUGCAGGAGCAGCUGCGAGUGGAGCAGCAGCUCAACAAAAUUCAGGACCGGCGCGAGCAGCUGCACAGGCGGUCCCAGCAAGGCGUGUUAUCGCCGCAGCAGCGACUCGCGGAGGUCAAGCGACGGAAUGCGAUCAUCAGGAAGAGAGCUGAAGAUAUGGAGUGCAGAGCGCGUCUGGCAAGCAUGAAUCCCAUAUUCUUUCAACUGGAGGACAUGAAGAGACAGUUUCUGGCGUGGGCGUUUCAGCAAGAGCGACGAUACAGAGAAAAACGUGGCAGAAUCAAACGUUGACAUCAAAGCAAAAUACCGGUCGACGUUAACUGGUUCCUUCUCAUUUGAUCGACAUGCAACGCACACAAAAUAUGUCAGAACUUAAGGUCUGUUACACAGUUUCAUCCAAACUGCGGAGAGGGUUUCAGUUUCGGCUGGGGCCAGACCGGACCAAAAACUGCGUGGAACGAGACGCCCGGCGCGUCAUGCGCACUAGCACGUCCAAUGCCAGACUGUGCGAGUACCAGUCGCCAGCCCGUUGAUCCCGACCUGAAGUGUAGCCCCUCUCCGACGGGUCACGCGCACUAGCACGUCCGGUGCCAGACUGUGCGAGUACCAGCCGCCAGCCCGCUGAUACCGACCUGUAGUGUAGCGCCUCCCCGCCCAAUCUAGUUUGUGGCAGCGGGACAACGUUGCGCAAUAUGUAGCUGCGGAUUGGCAGGCACCGGGCGCGUCACUGCCCGGCGAGUCCCGCGGGCCUCACUUACACGAGAAGGUGCUGCGGUGCUGCAGCUCUUUCGAUGCAUCCGCUGGGAUUCCCGAGGUGAAAACGUAGCAUCUACGACGGUGAAUAGACUUUAACUGCAAGGGAGGUGGACGGAGUUUCCUGGAGCCGACGACAAUCUGUUGUCCCGGUAGAUGCGCUGUUGAGCGAUGGCGUGAGGGAGAGGGAGGCGGUACUCGGGAGACUCUCUGGAACGUCUGGCUGAAUGAAACAUAACUGCGUAGCAACGUAACCAUCGUGUGCAGUCUUAAACAGCCCGUGUGAACUACCGUGUGAACCGUAUUGAUUUUAUAGUUGGCUAUUCCCGCUUUAUUUCGCUCUUCCAUUUGAAGCCCACUUUGAAUAUGCCGUGUCAGUGAAACAAGCUGUGUGCGUGCUGUGGGGUGGGCCAAAGGGUCACGGGAUUUCGUUUGUACAGACUCGGCAGGCAUGCAGUGUGUUACGUCGAUACGUUGAUGCGUAGAACAGAUACAUUGCCCGACUCGAAACACAAUACACGAUUGACGAUCGAC